rnacentral:rRNA from 1 species
GGCCAGACUCCUACGGGAGGCAGCAGUGGGGAAUAUUGCACAAUGGGGGAAACCCUGAUGCAGCGACGCCGCGUGAGUGAAGAAGUAUUUCGGUAUGUAAAGCUCUAUCAGCAGGGAAGAAAAUGACGGUACCUGAAGAAGAAGCCCCGGCUAACUACGUGCCAGCAGCCGCGGUAAUACGUAGGGGGCAAGCGUUAUCCGGAUUUACUGGGUGUAAAGGGGGCGCAGACGGCGAUGCAAGCCAGGAGUGAAAGCCCGGGGCCCAACCCCGGGACUGCUCUUGGAACUGCGUGGCUGGAGUGCAGGAGGGGCAGGCGGAAUUCCUGGUGUAGCGGUGAAAUGCGUAGAUAUCAGGAGGAACACCGGUGGCGAAGGCGGCCUGCUGGACUGCAACUGACGUUGAGGCCCGAAAGCGUGGGGAGCAAACAGGAUUAGAUACCCUGGUAAC